rnacentral:rRNA from 1 species
UACGAGGGGGGGCGAGCGUUGUUCGGAAUUACUGGGCGUAAAGCGUGCGCAGGCGGUUUUGUAAGCCAGAUGUGAAAUCCCCGGGCUCAACCUGGGAAUGGCAUUUGGGACUGCAAGGCUGGAGUACGGCAGAGGAGACUGGAAUUCCUGGUGUAGCAGUGAAAUGCGUAGAGAUCAGGAGGAAUACCGAUGGCGAAGGCAGGUCUCUGGGCUGAUACUGACGCUCAUGCACGAAAGCGUGGGGAGCAAACAGG